GAUGAACGCUGGCGGCGUGCCUAAUACAUGCAAGUCGAGCGAACGGACGAGAAGCUUGCUUCUCUGAUGUUAGCGGCGGACGGGUGAGUAACACGUGGAUAACCUACCUAUAAGACUGGGCUAACUUAGGGAACCCGGAGCUAAUACCGGAUAAUAUUUUGAACCGCAUGGUUCAAAAGUGAAAGACGGUCUUGCUGUCACUUAUAGAUGGAUCCGCGCUGCAUUAGCUAGUUGGUAAGGUAACGGCUUACCAAGUCAACGAUGCAUAGCCGACCUGAGAGGGUGAUCGGCCACACUGGAACUGAGACACGGUCCAGACUCCUACGGGAGGCAGCAGUAGGGAAUCUUCCGCAAUGGGCGGAAGCCUGACGGAGCAACGCCACGUGAGUGAUGAAGGGCUUCGGAUCGUAAAACUCUGUUAUUAGGGAAGAACAUAUGUGUAAGUAACUGUGCACACCUUGACGGUACCUAAUCAGAAAGCCACGGCUAACUACGUG
rnacentral:rRNA from 1 species